CCCUUAGACGUUCUGGGCCGCACGCGCGCUACACUGACCAGUGCAACAAGCAUCCGUCCUUGGCCGACAGGCCCGGGCAAUCUUUGAACGCUGGUCGUGAUGGGGAUAGACUUUUGCAAUUUUUGGUCUUCAACGAGGAAUUCCUAGUAAACGCAAGUCAUCAACUUGCAUUGAUUACGUCCCUGCCCUUUGUACACACCGCCCGUCGCACCUACCGAUUGAAUGGUCCGGUGAAGCCUCCGGAUUGGCGCGCACCUCGGUGCCGCCGAGAAGUUGGCUAAACCUUCCCAUUUAGAGGAAGGUGAAGUCGUAACA
rnacentral:rRNA from 1 species